rnacentral:rRNA from 1 species
GAAUUUUAUAUAAAUUAAUUAUUUGAUUAAGUUUAGAAGAGAUUGUUAAAGUAUAUUUAAUUGGGAGGAUUAUUAAAUUUAAGUAACUUUAAUUAAUUUGGUAACAUAAAUUAAUGAAUUUAGGAAUGAUUGUUAAAUUAAGUAAGAAUUAAUUACCUCAGGGAUAACAGCGUGAUAUUUUUGGAGAGUUCAUAUUAAUAAAAAUGUUUGC